rnacentral:rRNA from 1 species
GACGAACGCUGGCGGCGUGCUUAACACAUGCAAGUCGAACGCUGAAGCUUGGUGCUUGCGCUGGGUGGGUGAGUGGCGAACGGGUGAGUAAUAAGUGAGUAACCUGCCCUUGACUCUGGGAUAAGCCUGGGAAACUGGGUCUAAUACUGGAUACGACAUGUCACCGCAUGGUGGUGUGUGGAAAGGGUUUUACUGGUUUUGGAUGGGCUCACGGCCUAUUAGCUUGUUGGCGGGGUAAUGGCCCACCAAGGCGACGACGGGUAGCCGGCCUGAGAGGGUGACCGGCCACACUGGGACUGAGACACGGACCAGACUCCUACGGGGGGCAGCAGUGGGGAAUAUUGCACAAUGGGCGGAAGCCUGAUGCAGCGACGCCGCGUGAGGGAUGACGGCCUUCGGGUUGUAAACCUCUUUCAGCACGGAAGAAGCGAAAGUGACGGUACGUGCAGAAGAAGCGCCGGCUAACUACGUG